rnacentral:lncRNA from 1 species
CUUCUCUUUUUCUUUCUUUCUUUCCUCUGUUUCACGCCUGAGAACCCCCUCCCUCUUUCUCUCGGUUUCACCGGCUCAAACCCUCCAAUUAAAUCACAUCAAAACACUAUUCACCCUUUGUUUAAUAUUAUUAAAUUUUCAUUUUGCCCCUAACACUUCAACAUAUCUACCGUUAUGCCAUUAACUUUUGAUUCCUUCCAAUUUUACCCUUACCACUUCAAUGCAUCUACAACUAUGCCAUUAUCUUUUGAUUCCUUCCAAUUUUACCCCUUAUAUCAAUUUUAAAGGACUAUUCUAUCCCUUUUUAUAUAUAAAAA